rnacentral:rRNA from 1 species
AGAGUUUGAUCCUGGCUCAGAACAAACGCUGGCGGCGUGCCUAAUACAUGCAAGUCGAACGGGGAAAGUAGCAAUACGAGUACUAGUGGCGCACGGGUGAGGAAUACAUGGGUAAUCUGCCCUCGAGCUCGGGAUAACCAGUCGAAAGACUGGCUAAUACCGGAUAUGACCACAAGAUCUGAGGAUCAAGGGGUAAAAGGUUUUUCGCUUGAGGAUGAGCCCAUGUGGGAUUAGCUAGUUGGUGUAGGUAACGGCUCACCAAGGCGACGAUCCCUAACUGGUCUUAGAGGAUGAUCAGUCACACUGGAACUGAGACACGGUCCAGACUCCUACGGGAGGCAGCAGUAGGGAAUAUUGCACAAUGGAGGAAACUCUGAUGCAGCGACGCCGCGUGAGUGAUGAAGGCCUUCGGGUCGUAAAGCUCUGUCGUAUGGGACUAACAAAAUGAAGGUACCAUGCAAGAAAGGAUCGGCUAACUUCGUG